UACGAGGGGGGCGAGCGUUGUUCGGAAUUAUUGGGCGUAAAGGGUGCGUAGGCGGUUCCGCAAGUCCUGUGUGAAAUCUUCGGGCUCAACUCGAAGUCUGCACGGGAAACUGCGGGGCUUGAGUGUGGGAGAGGUGAGUGGAAUUCCCGGUGUAGCGGCGAAAUGCGUAGAUAUCGGGAGGAACACCUGUGGCGAAAGCGGCUCACUGGACCAUAACUGACGCUGAUGCACGAAAGCUGGGGGAGCAAACAGG
rnacentral:rRNA from 1 species